rnacentral:lncRNA from 1 species
AAAUGCUAGCAGACGGUUCAGCAAACCGUCAACCGGACGAAACUUUCUCCCAACCUUUUUGCGUAAAGAAGAUGAAAUUAAGGCAUUAUUUCAACUAACAAUAAGGUACGAUCACCGACAAGAUUUCAAAAGUUUAAAAAGUCAUUCGUGAUUGUGCACUUUUAUUUUCGUUUACAAUCUCAAUUGAAAUAACUUUGUUGCAAUAAUUACUUCAAAACAUAGGUACCAUUAAUCAUUGUAUAAUUAGCAAGCCUACUGUGAUAAAGGUUUAUUUUCUCGAUUCCUAUUUUUUGUCAGUAGGUACCGUAAAAACCGGUUUCCCGAAAAUCUUGCUUUUUCCAGACUUUUUUUUGCCUGAAUUUUUCAAAUGAAUUUUGAAUUCAAUUUUCUAAUCAAAAUAUAAAUUAUUUUAAUCCUUAGUUACAGAACGUCGUCACUAUUCAAGUGGUCAGCGUGUCUUUCCAUCAUUCGUAAGAUCACGGGUUCGAACCACCAAUCAUGCUAUGCCCUAUAAUUUUGUUGUCUGAACAACAAAACACUAAUAAAUUUCGGUUUGCUAAACUAUCUUGCGACGCCCCGAAACUACCGUGAACGCUUUAAUAGCAAGAGAUAAGACAUAUAUACCUUCUAAUAGAAUAACCAUACAUACCCUAAUUGACAUAACUUAGGCGUUCAAAUUCAAAAGUUUUGUUCGGCAUCAAUUUUUUCGGUGGGUAGCGGUAGCGCCAGUUUUUGAGCGGUUUCCAAAAACACCAACCAAGAAAAAAAAUUAAUUGAGACUGAUAAUCUCAAAGGCUUCGUUCAAGAAUUGUAAUUGUGUGUGCAGGUGUUGUUCAUUGAUCUUAGUCCAAAUACUCCGGCUGGUUCGAUAAAUCUUACGGUCAUCCACUUGGUAGAAAUUGUUGCUUACUUACAAACAUUUGCACUAUGGGCCCAACAACUUCUAGAAUAGAGGAAGCACGGUCGCACGGAGGGCGCUCCUACUCCAGCUCCAGAUCCAGAAUCCUGCACCCAAGGGCAGGGAGAAGCCCGUUGAUGAUGUAGCUGCCUAGUGUAUGCUCUGUCACCAUCGGCGACAACUAACCUCCUCUUCGUCAUUCGCUGAAGGCGUCAGUGGAAAAGCAGCGGCAACUUUUGCCAUUUUGAGCUUCCUUAUCUCGGAGGACAUGGUGCGAGAUUUGUCAGGAAGAUUGAGGGGUUUGGCACGAUUGGAGGAAGUCGCAAGCGCGAUCUGCGGUUACAAUUGGAAUGGCAAAGAAAAAGUAGAAGAUUGAGGACUGGUUUAGAUCCUCCCACCCCCCCCCCCCCCCCCUUCAAUUUAAUGGUCUGAAAUUCUAAUUGUCCUGGAGAUCCCGCCAUACACGUGGCAACAUCUUGAAGCCCAAACGGCAACAUCACGCACUUCUGCGCGAAAGUCAAGGCGUCGUCACCGACCAGACAUUUCCCCAGGCAAGUGUUCAAUUGGUCACAGAGCAUCUCUCAUGUAGUAUUCGAGAAGAUAUAGCUAAGAGCAAAUGCAAUAGUAUAGCCAGCUGCUGGCUAUAAGACAUUGACAUGUCAUCUAUAGCCCGUCUUAUAGCCAA